rnacentral:lncRNA from 1 species
CACAAGUACUGUAUCACGUCCUGAUUCCUCCACCCUUGCUCUCUCUCUAUCAUCUCUCUCUUUCUUUCUCUCUCUCUCUCUCUCUCUGUGUCUCUUUCUCUCUCACUACUGUCUGUGGAUGUAGUUUACCAGCUUCUCUGUGUCACCAUGGUGACGGUGCCAGGUGUACCGACGACCCUUGUGUUAACAGGAUUGUGUAUCGCUCUUCUCAUCACAGGAUCAUCUGGGACCUUCUGUACCACCAGUGUGGCUUCCCUGGAUUUAGGAUGCCUCCUGCGGUGGGAUUGUCCUCAGGCCAACGCUAACACCACCACCUACACUGUCCAAACUAAGACUCAGGGCUGUGAAACCAAGCCCGUCGCGCUUUCUGCCUGCUCCUCUCAACUGGUUUCAGUCAUAACCACCACCACCCAACUAGUCCAACAACCAGGGGGAUGUGUGUUAUCUUCUAUGGAGAUCCAUGGCAGGACGUGGAGGGGUGUGUGCGGAUCUCCGCCCAGCACUGUGACGUGUCCCAGGCCUUCUCUGAUUUUGAACUCUACAACAUGAUCCGCCUGGGCCUCCACCAGGGCCCUGGGAGCCCAGUCUGGACAAAACCACGCAAGUUUGACCCAAGUGAUUUCAGUCAGUAACCAACCUCUCUGCUCUCAAGACCAAUCACAUAUCUAAAAUGCUGCCUUCAACCGCCCCUCCGUCUCUGUGACUCUGUCUAGAGAGAGGCUGGUAGUGGAGGUGCACUUCCCCUGUUCUACCAACAGAGGGUGCUUUCCUCUGCAGAGCUGCUGUCCACUGUCAGAACUGAUUGACCCCUGGGUCACAGUGACCGUAUAUAACCAACAGAACCACUCUGACUACAAGAGGCGUACUGGUUGGGCCCAGGAGGUGGUGUACAGGGCUGAGUUCUCAGACCUGGUCUCAGGACAGGACUACUGUGCCUUGGCUAACUUCUCCUUUGGACCCCCCACCUUCCCCCUGGCCUCCUCUCCCCCCUCCCACCCACACUGUGUCCACCAGGCUGCCCCAGGACCAGGGUUGCAGCCAGUGUUGUUGGGGAUAGGAGUGUGUGCUGUGCUCUUCUCUGCUCUCCUUGCUCUGUACCGGCUGAAACAGAAACGAGAUGCACCUCGCAUUAACAGACUCCCCAAGACUCUAGCAUCUCUCCAGGCAUCCCUCCAGGACCCCCCAGAGUCCUCUUCAGACCCGGUUGACCCCAGUGACAUCCAUGUGGAGGUUGUGGACGACCACCUCUCCAUCAUGUCUUCCUUGUCCGGCUGUGUCUUCACCAACGCCCAGGCCCCAAGCUUGGGGGACGGAUACAGCAACAAACCCUUCCCCGGUGACUACAGGUCGGGCAACAUGGACUGGCACACUUGGGGAGACACUAAGCUGGGCCUGAACUCUGGCAGCACCCUAUCCCUGCCAUGCUCCACUGUGCCUAUAGGGCUACAUAUGACCCAGUGCAACUUCGAUUCACCACUACGACCACAUCCAGAGCCCACGGUGCCAACACUACCCUACCUUGAUUCUCUUUCUCUGUCAGAGGCUGGGGAGGGCCAGGGGGUCCCGCUGUGCUCAGUGAGGUUUGGGGGUGCGAGUGAAGGGGGUGAGAACCUGGAGGGACUACAGUGGUGUAACCGGUAGCAUGUUGAACUGCAGUACCCAUAAUGCUCUGUACAACAUAUUCUGAUGAACUCCACAGUGCAGUUGAGUCCAAGGUUUUGGCAAACAGGGCAUCGAUUUUGGAGGAGAUGAGAUGGGACAGAACUGGACCCAAUGAAGAGUAAUAGUGGUCCUAUGUAGCUCAGUUGUUAAAAAGCAAUGACACUAUCAAACGGCAGGGUUGUGGAUUAGAUUCUCGCCAGAAUCACAUACUAAAAAUGUAUGCACUCACUGUAGUGUAGGUCGCUAUGGAUACAAGUUGAACGUCUGCUGAGUGGCAUUGGUAACCUGGUUCUGCCGUAUAUAGCAGUCGAAGAAGACAUGGCUGGGAACUGAAGCGCCAAGCUCAGUUUGAACAACAACACUGACAACCACAGCUUUGUUUUACACCGUUUGUUUAGUAGGGUUCACAAUAUCGAUGACUUCUGUCAUCCGCAGAGCCGGGGGGAUGACAGAUUGAUGGACAAAUCAAUAGGGCCCCUGUUGGUGCGAGCAGAGCCUCUGAUUCACAGGUCCAGCUGGGUCUUUGGGAGGGUUUGUUUGAGGGGUGCUGAAGGUAGUGUUUCAAGUUCCAAAACUUUAUUGUCCAUGUUUGUUUAAAAUGGGAAUAUAUUUGUUUCAGGAGACCCCCCAGCCCCCCACCCUUAACUGGACUGUGGUAUGGAUAAUGGCGAUUUUAGCAUGUAAAUCUUGGUGGGGCAAAAUAAAGAUGUGGGAUGCAUGCCAGCAAAGCCCCAACACUAAACAAUACAUUAAUUGCACUAUAAUGGUGACAAACGGUGCCCACAAUCUGUUAGGGCCUACAUAAAGCUGUCCCUACAGUAGAGUCCCAACAGCAGAGUCCCAACAGCAGUCCCAACACCUUACCACUGCUACACCUGGCUAUCAGCGGAGCCUUGUCUGGCAGCGAAACAGUUCAUUCAGCCUCAUUUACUGCCUUUUUAAAAAAACAUAGCUGAUAUGGCUGAAUUGAGAUGUAUGAACUAUGGCAUAAGGGAAAGACAAGAGGAUAAGAGGCAAUCAGUAAUUUCGAUUAAGACAUUAUUGAGCGAGCUAGGAUGGACAUAGUCAAUGCAACUAUUUGUUCAGCACUUUUGAAAUGUACAGCAACAGAAUUCAGAACAUGGGCCGUUCUUCCUGUACACCAAGUCAGAACUAUAUGAUAAAUAAAGGGGGCAUAUAAGCAUACAAUGACAGCUCUUACAAUAUUCAAUGAUUACAUUUCUCAAAAACAGGUUAUAGGCUACAUGUGCACCACCAAAAAAUGAAAAGAUGUAAAUAGACCAAAUCAUUAGGGUGAGGCACAUGGGCUACUAACAGCUUACUACACAACAUACACAUAGCUACAGUAUACAUAUCUCCCUGGCACAUUACAUCACUUAUGCAGCAGCAUACAAUACAUUUUUGGACUCACCUUGUUGUGCUGUGCUCACUUGAACAGGAAGGUGGCGUGGCAGUCCUAUGUGGGCAAAUGUUGUCAUCAAAGUCUGACAUUCUGGGAACUCAGGAAAAAAAAAGGUUGAAUCAUGAUGGCGUCAGUAAUCUUCAGGUUGUAGCUCUAGAUAGAAGCCCGAGUUCAAAAUGUACAAUUCCGAAUUGAAUGAAAGUUCAAAACGUAUUUUCCCAGUCGUAGCUCGUUUCCCCCCCCCCGAGUACCCAGUUGUCUUGAACUCACUAAAGUCAGAUUUUGCAGUUCCGAGUUAACAGUUGCUUUGAUCAAGGCACAAAUCAUGCUUCAUUGACAGCAUGGCCAAUGUUGAUUGUUUAUAAUUUUAAACUAGGAAAAUAGACCCCUAAUCUUAGACUUGGGACCACACAGCCACUCCCCUGAAUAGCAGGCUAAUGAUUGCUUUGCGAUGCUUGCAGUUAGCCACUGAUUCCUUCCAAACCACAUAAUGUUUAUGUCCAAUGGCCGAUGAGCAACAAUACAUUUUAUCUAUAAUUUAUCUUCAUUAUUUCUCUUCAUAUGACAAGGAUUAAAAAGGAUUUGCCAGUAGUUUGUCGACUUGAUUCAUGAUGAUGACUGCUAGCUAAGAUUUUGAAAGUACUAUGUUGACAUGAUCAGUCCAAUCAAAGCUACUGUAGAUAUGUGAUUUGAUGUCAUUUCUGUGGCCAAUGACCUUGAGCCUUCUUGGAUGGUCACUUCUAAUGUAACUCUAUGGCAGCACCCAAGGGGCUUGAAUAUUUUCUGCUGAUAGCCCCACCACCACAAAAAGCACUGAGCUAGGCUGAAACACCUGCAUUUUGGCCCUGCCUUACUCAAGAAAACAAAAAGAGGCCAUGUUUGUAUGCGGCUUUAUUAACUCAAUGAUGUAUUUUUUACAUUGUUUUCAAACUGAUAUGUCACACGUAUUAAUACCAAAAUAACAUGCAAAAUAUAAUGUUUUGGGGCAAAAAAUGUGGGGCUCAAAACAGGUGGGGUCUCCAGUAUGUAUGGACAAAACUGGACUAUCAUAAACAUAUACCAUGGGGGGUUUAUUAUUCUGACCCCCCCCCCCCCUUUAUUUCCUCUACCUACUGUACUGUGUGAAGUCUCUACCUCAAUGUUUCUCUUGUUUUCUCUGUGUGAUAACAGGAGGUUGUUUCCCCCCCUCUGGCUCUCUCUCUCUGCCUUGCUUCUGACUCACUGUUGCCCCAUCCUACCUCUGGCCUGACCCGCUGUCUUUUACCCGUGUCUGACACCUCAUUCCUGGGGGGUUACACAUCUCUUUUGCUGGUGGUGCACUUUUUCUGGAACAUUAGGAAACCCAGGGGGGUGAGAGAAAGAGUGAGAGGAGAGAGACGGAGGAGAGGCAUGGAAGAUGGUGGAGUGAAAACAGUGGCCCCAUUCAAAUCCUCCUCAGUUCUGGAACACUCAUAUUCAUAAUAAUAGAACUGUGUCGGGGGGAUUUUGAUUGAUGUCAGGCUAAUGUUGGACCGUCAGUGAAUCCAAACUAAGCAGUGUGUGUCUGCCUGCCAAUCACAUAGCUGUAACGUUAUUCCACAGGCGUCCAACAGAGAAUUCCCAUCUAACCUUGAACUGAGGUUUUUGGAUGAGCUUUUUAUGGGCCCUGCUAUAUUUGCAGUCAAUUUAGUGGAAAGUUGAUCCAAGAUGGACGCCUUGUAGCUCGGCUCCCCACUGGUGUGUGCUGGCUUGCUCUGCAACUGAGGUGGUGAAGUUGGAUUAGGGAUUUAUGUGGUGUUCAACAGGGUGACGUUUCUCGAAAAAGUCUAAUUUAUAUGUCAGCUGAAACUGUCUCUGCUAGAGUAUCUGAAAUUAGAUAUAUUUAGCAUUUUUACUUUCCAUUCAGUGCAUACCGUUCUUUGAAUGUCAAGUUUGCUCAUAUGUAAAUGUAAAUUAACCAAAGAGAGGGGAAAAACAGACAAAUGCAUAUGCGAGAGUACAGCGGAGCUUGAAAAACAACUCACAAGCCUAAUAAAAACAGCUUGAAAUGAGGUAUCAUUCAGUGCAGAUGAAGGCAAGUAUUUCAGUUCAGCUUAUAAAACUGUUUGCACAAUGCUAGAUAAGUGUAAUUGAUGGAUUAUUUUUCUGUGUACUUCACUUUCUAACACCAUGAGUCAGUGUACAAUUAGAUAGGAAAUAUUUCAGAGUAAUUUGAAGUGCUUUUGUGUGUGAUAAAUAUGUAACAAGUUUGUUAAAAUACUGUAUCUUGCUUUCUGUUUUUGUUUUCCUAACUGGUUGAAUAAUGAAAGAAGUGCGUUCAUUGUGCAUAAAUAAAAAGCACCUUAAAAGGUUACAAUUGCAACUGUGAUGGUCAAGUCAAAGUCCUGGUACUUUCAAAAAUACAGAAGUGUAAAUACAA